CACCAAGCCACCACUAACCACCGCCGGACGAGGAGUUACCAAUGACAGGGUCUGGCUCUCUUACGUACACACGGGUUUCGGGGCGCAAGCGCAUUGGCCAAUCGGCUCUUGUAACAACAGAGCAGGGCCGGUUGCCAAGCAACUAACUAGGGGGCGUGGCCAAAUUCGGGUGAGCAACGCCCUCGACGAACUUUUGGAGCAGCUGCCCGGCGCACACAGACACAGUACACAGGCGGGCAACGCGCUCACAGAUACAAGCGUGCGAGCUCACAGAUACAGAUACUUUAGCUCACAGAUACGCCGUAUCGCCUAAUGCCGCCAACUGAGCUGAGCGACGCCAUGUUACAGUUAACGAUUUUCCCUAAUGCGAUCAAUAAUCGCUCGCUCUCGCUCUGGCUGUGCCAAACGCAAUAAAACUAAAAAAAGACGAGGCAAAUAAAACUGGAAAAUUCAAAAUAAAAUCUAGACAAGGUCUGGAGACGGACGGAAUCUGGGGGAUUGAGUACGAAGUGUGAGAAUGCGACGCUCUGUUUUGCCAGAGAACCACCUAGCUCUGUGGGUUGGAAUAAAAAAGAACGCCUUGGCUCCCAGAAGAAGACAUUAAUAAUCCCCGUGCACAUUUUUAGGUUAAGGUACACCAAUGUCACUCUCAUUCAUUCCAUAUCAUUCCUCGCAUUCGUGGCGAGGCAACGCGAGGCAGCAGUAACAGCAGCAGAACAGAAACAGAAGUGCCGCAGUUCUCCUUUUUGGCAAGUCAUUGCGAAAGUGACCCAGUUCUGUGCCAACUCCACAACUACAUCCACAUCCAACUUAUCAAAAUAACCAUGAGCAUCAAUCUCAGCAUCCGCAUCUCAUCCUUGCCGGCUACCUGGUGCCAGCCGAGCAGUUCAUUGAUGCAGAAGAAGAUGCGCGUGCUGGCGGAUACUUCCUGGUAGUGCACUUUUAUGGACGCGAGUAAAACUCAUUUUAAUUUCGGCCAUAAACCAUAAGACUAGGACGAAAAUCGUUCUACCAUCGCUUGACGCCUUCCAUUGUGCAUUCCGCUUAACCCUUUCACCCAGCCAAGUGUCUGUCCAUGUGCGCGCAAGUGUGUGUGUGAAUCCGAACCCGGCUCAUUAUGUUGGCCAUAAACGAUCAAUUGUCUGGUUUCUCAAUGAAAGUUUUUACUGAAAUAAGUUCUACCUGAGUAUUCGGAAAUGCGCGGGAUUUCCUAUUUAUUAAUUACAUGAUUUUUGAAAUGUC